rnacentral:rRNA from 1 species
CAGGCCUAACACAUGCAAGUCGAGCGGGUCGCAAGACCAGCGGCAAACGGGUGCGUAACGCGUAAGCAACCUGCCCACUACUGGGGGAUAGCCCGGCGAAAGCGGGGGUAAACCCGCAUGGUCCUCGAGAGUCACCUGGCUUUUUAGGUAAACAUUUAUGGGUAGUGGAGGGGCUUGCGUCUGAUUAGCUAGUUGGCGGGGUAAGGGCCCACCAAGGCGACGAUCAGUAGGGGUUCUGAGAGGAUUGGCCCCCACAUGGGUACUGAGACACGGACCCAACUCCUACGGGAGGCAGCAGUAGGGAAUAUUGGACAAUGGGCGCAAGCCUGAUCCAGCCAUGCCGCGUGAGUGAUGAAGGCCCUAGGGUUGUAAAGCUCUUUCACCGGUGAAGAUAAUGACGGUAUCCGGAGAAGAAGCCCCGGCUAACUUCGUGCCAGCAGCCGCGGUAAU